rnacentral:lncRNA from 10 species
GCUUCCAGGAAAGCUGAUGGGGUCUACAUGCACUUUUCCUAUAUCCCCCACUGACAAGUACAGUGAAGGCCGAAUGCUCAGUGAACAGUAACUCUCUGCCCUAAAUCCAGCUGUGACUUUCAUGGUCCUUACUCAUGGACCUUCCACACUGAGGGAGCAUGCUGCAUCUGGGGAAUUUUGGAUAUCAGGAGCACUGAGAAAAAGAGAACACAAAUGAAAUCUCACCUCAUGUGAUAGUAGUCAUGAAACCCAAAGACACAAUGUGGAGAGGAGUUCACGAGAAUGCCUGGUAUGAGGAGAGCACCCCAAAUCACUCUUUAUGAGCUCAUCUCAAAUCUCGGGCUCCACUUAUCCCACGAGCCAUUGAAGAUAAUGAAGAGAUCACUCUUAAAGUGCUCUUUUUUUCUUUUCAGAUUUUAAUAGUAAAGCAGAACUUUAAAAAAAAAUAAAGCUGAUAAAAAUUA